rnacentral:lncRNA from 1 species
GAAGUCCCCGCUUUUACCCCGCCCUUCUCGCCCGAAAUUCCCGUUUUCUACCCCAUUUUUAGCUCAAAAUUCCCAUUUUUUCCCCAUUUUUAGGCUAAAAAUCAGAUUUUUUUUCUCCCAUUUUUUCCCCAUUUUUAGCCCAAAAUUUCCAUUUUUUCCCCUCAUUUUUAGCCCAAAAAUCAGAUUUUUCCUCCAUUUUUUCCCCAAAAUUCCCAUUUUUUCCCCCCCAUUUUCAGGCCAAAAAUCAGAUUUUGUUCUCCAUUUUUAGCCCAAAAUUCCCAUUUCCCCCCAUUUUUAUGCCAAAAAUCAGAUUUUUUUUUUCUUCCAUUUUUUUCCCCAUUUUCCCCCCAAAAUUCCAUUUUUCCCCCCUUUUUUCCAGAGCUUGAUCCCCGAAAUCCGUGCUGGGGGCGGGGCCGAGCCCCCGGAAGGGGGCGGGGACGGGGGGGAGGGGCCGGAAGCCGAGGGGGAGGGGCCGGACAAAGGGGGCGUGGCCUCCUCCGGCCCCGCCCCCGCCUCGGCCCCGCCCCCGCUGCUGCUCCCCUCCCCCCACCUGAAGAUCUGCCGCACCGUCACCCAGCCCCUCCCCCUCCCCCAGGUGGUGCCGGCGCCGGGGGAGAACGGGCGGGGGGAGGGGCAGGAGGAAGAGGAGGAGGAGGGGGCGGAGUCGGACGAAGGGGGCGGGGCCGGCCGGCCCAAGCCCCUCCCCCACCACGCCCCCCCUCCGGCCGCGGGGGGAGGGGCUGCGCCCGGCCCCGCCCCUCCCCCGCCCGCCGCGGCCACGCCCACCUCGGCGGAGGGGGAGGGGAAAGGAGGUGAGGAGGGGGCGGGGCUAAGAUGGGAGGGGGAGGGGCUUGAUGAAUGGGAGGGGGAGGGGUUAAAAAUGCAAAUGAGCUGUUAUAAAUGGGGGGGAGGGGCUUUAAAUGUGUGGGGGAGCGGCUUAAAGGGAAGAGGGGGAGGGGCUUGAAGGAAUGGGAGGGGCUUAAAUGGGGUGGGAGGGGCUUAAAAGGGUGGGGGGGUUAAAAAUGCAAAUGAGCUGUUUAAAUAUGCAAAUGAGCUGCUUACAAUGCUUGGGAGGGGCUUAAGGUGUGGAGGAGGGGCUUAAAAGGGUGUGGGUGGGGUUAAGUAUGCAAAUGAGCUGCUUAAAAUGCAGGGAAAGGGGGCUUAGGAUGAGGGGGAGGGGUUAAAAAUGCAAAUGAG